GCCGCGGUAAGACGUAGGGCGCGAGCGUUGUCCGGAUUUAUUGGGCGUAAAGAGCUCGUAGGCGGCUUGUCGCGUCGACUGUGAAAACUCAGGGCUCAACCCUGAGCUUGCAUUCGAUACGGGCAGGCUAGAGUUCGGUAGGGGAGACUGGAAUUCCUGGUGUAGCGGUGAAAUGCGCAGAUAUCAGGAGGAACACCGGUGGCGAAGGCGGGUCUCUGGGCCGAUACUGACGCUGAGGAGCGAAAGCGUGGGGAGCGAACAGGAUUAGAUACCCUGGUAGUCCACGCUGUAAACGUUGGGCGCUAGGUGUGGGGGGCCUCUCCGGUUCUCUGUGCCGCAGCUAACGCAUUAAGCGCCCCGCCUGGGGAGUACGGCCGCAAGGCUAAAACUCAAAGGAACUGACGGGGGCCCGCACAAGCGGCGGAGCAUGCGGAUUAA
rnacentral:rRNA from 1 species